AACUCCACCAGAAAGUCGAAAAUCCUUCAGUCUCAAAGUACUGAUACACACAAACUGACACAGCACAUAAAGCCAGGUAGCAAACACACCCACAAACUUCUCUAAAAUGGCCAUGAGAGGAACUAAUGGGUUGGUUUAGGUUUGACCUCCAAGAAGUGGUGGCAAUCUUGCUGCACUUACUCAUAGCAUCCACAGGGUGGCAGUGUGGGCCAGGGUUUGUAAUAAAUUGGGGAGUGGCACUUUCAUAUGAAGAAAAGAGAGCCGAUCACCUGCAGAGUUUUCAGUGACACUGUACUUGGAUUGCUAAACUGCCCUGGGAGUGUAAUGGCAUACUGGUAGCUCCAUUUAAGAAGAAACAGAUCAUAUAAAGCCAAUGUCAUACUGGGACAGCGGCCAAACAGACCAUGAAAAUCAUUGGCAGAUGAUAAUGAAGCCUGAGGAGAAAGCAGUGGACUGGUGUGUUUGCUUAAAGUCAGUGUGAAAUCAGAAUCUUUAAUCUUCAAGCUCGAUUUAAAGAAAAGUAAUCUUUUGUAAAAAAUGCAACCAUUCAGUUUACAAAGUAAUUUGAUGCAGAUUAACUCUAAGUUUUAUGGCAAUAACACAUGAAAGUUGUAAAAAAUCCAUAACUAUUAGGAAACGUGUUCAUGCUGUCUAGGGGAAACUUGACCUCGGGUCCAUAUCCCAGUGAAAAAGCCUCCCUAAAAAUAUGCACUUCGGGGGUAACCCACAACCCACAACUGCAAACUUGCAUUCAGGUCUGGUUUCAUUCUGGUAUGGGACCCACAUAUUUUACACAUCAAUUCCAGAUCCGAUCAAUUCCCAAUGGAUAAAAUUAAGUCCUGCAAGUCAGUUGUAAGAAGUUAACCCUAACUGGUUUCUUGCAACUUGGCUCUUGCACUUUCAGAAAUAAAGGUACAAAGCUAUCACCGUGGUGGUCCGCUUUUUAAAAGCACACUUUUGUACCGAAAGGGUGCAUAUUGGCCAAGAUACCAUAUUAACAUACAUCAGUAUCGGCUGUUUUUAUGAUCCGCUUUGUGCAAGUCGUCCGCCAUACUGGAACGGUUCCAAGGUGGUACGUUAACCAGGGUUGCCAUGCUGCGGUGAGCACUUUAAAACUGGUGACGCGGAUUGCUUUUUGUGUUGUUAAAUGGUAAAACCAGGGUCUUGUUAAUUAGCUGUCAAUAUUAAGUUAAAUACUUUUCUUUAUAAAAAAAAAAAAAUGCGUGUUGGUAUUUGGGCUAAGGGUUAAUUGGCCAUUGGGUUGGUUUUGUGUUGCAAAUCUGGC